GAUGAACGCUGGCGGCGUGCCUAAUACAUGCAAGUCGAGCGAAUGGAUUAAGAGCUUGCUCUUAUGAAGUUAGCGGCGGACGGGUGAGUAACACGUGGGUAACCUGCCCAUAAGACUGGGAUAACUCCGGGAAACCGGGGCUAAUACCGGAUAACAUUUUGAACCGCAUGGUUCGAAAUUGAAAGGCGGCUUCGGCUGUCACUUAUGGAUAGACCCGCGUCGCAUUAGCUAGUUGGUGAGGUAACGGCUCACCAAGGCAACGAUGCGUAGCCGACCUGAGAGGGUGAUCGGCCACACUGGGACUGAGACACGGCCCAGACUCCUACGGGAGGCAGCAGUAGGGAAUCUUCCGCAAUGGACGAAAGUCUGACGGAGCAACGCCGCGUGAGUGAUGAAGGCUUUCGGGUCGUAAAACUCUGUUGUUGGGGAAGAACAAGUGCUAGUUGAAUAAGCUGGCACCUUGACGGUACCUAACCAGAAAGCCACGGCUAACUACGUGCCAGCCGCCGCGGUAA
rnacentral:rRNA from 1 species